rnacentral:rRNA from 1 species
AUUGAACGCUGGCGGCAGGCUUAACACAUGCAAGUACAACGAGUGGCGGACGGGUGAGGAAUGCUUGGGAAUCUGGCUUAUGUAGGGGGAUAAAGACGGGAAACUGUAGCUAAUACCGCGUAACAUAGGAUGAGCCCAAGGGUGAUUAUCUAGUUGGUGGGGUAAUGGCCUACCAAGCCGACGAUCUCUAGCUGGUCUGCGAGGAGGACCAGCCACACCGGAACGUAGACACGGCCCGGACUCCUACGGGAGUCUGCAGUGGUGAAUAUUGCGCAAUGGUGGCAACCUGAUGCAGCCAGGCCGCGUGAAUGAAGAAGGCCUUCGGGUGGUAAAGUUCUUUCGGUUACGGGGCGUUAAUCACAGAAGAAGCACCGGCUGACUCCGUGCCAGCAGCCGCGGGAAUAC